UUCUCCUGACAAUGGGCAAAGAGUCACCUUGGUGGUGGUGGUGUUCUUAUAUCAGUCAGGGGCAGAGCAGAUGGCUGUCUUUUGUUUAUCCUAGCUUGGUUCCUGGCUUGGUGGCCAAAGCUGUUUUAUACAUAGGACUCAUAA
ensembl:snoRNA LOC120101259 small nucleolar RNA SNORA48